rnacentral:tRNA from 1 species
CUGGAUGUAGCGCAGCCCGGUAGCGCGCCUGCUUUGGAUGCAGGGGGUCGCAGGUUCGAAUCCUGCCAUCCAGA